UUUACCUUCCCGCUGGAGCGGUACCUAUUUAUCUACUUGCACUUUUUGGCAUGCUUUCGAACUGCUAGGUUGCCAGGAGCAGGGACGGAGCAAUGGGAGCUCGCCCCGUCGCGGGGAUUCGAACCACCAACCUUCUGAAUGGCAAGCCCUAGGCUCUGUGGUUUAACCCACAGCGCCACCUGCGUGGCACCUUUUAACUGGUUUCUGAGCCCUGGCCUAGAGGAAGCUCCAUGCCUGAGGCACUGCAAGUACCAGUAAACAGUGCAAACCAUGCUCAAAGCAGCUUACAACAUUUCAACAAAAAAUACAGAACUACAACAUAAUGAAAGUAGUCAUAAACAGUAAGUUAAACAUUUAAAAAUACAAAACCAAACUGAACAAUUUCCACAUAAAUCGCAACAAAAUCUGAAAUAAAGAUACAGAACAGCAACAGCAACAACGUCACCUCAAUAAACAAGAACAUGCAGUAAAAACAUGCUCAAAGGUUUUAAUCUCUGAACAGUACUGCAGAUCCUGCACUAUUUGGCCAGCCAAUCAGAUCUGCAGUAUUGGCUGAAGAAUCCAUGCCCAUUUACUGGAAACCAGCCAGAAGAUCAGUUGGUAGCUCUCGAUUCCUGUCUACGCAAGGCUUAUGAGUUCCUGGAAACAAGCGGGAGGGGGAAAAGGUAUUUUACAUAAUUGUGCAAUUAUCAAGUAGGAGUUAUGCUUUCCCACUAGAAAACUUUUAUGUUUCUUUUUAUCCAGCUUCUUAAAAGCUAGAUGUGGUACUUAAAAAGGCAUGAAAAACCUGUUCUUAGUUUCGCUGAAGAUCCAUUUGCAGAAUGUUCAUAAGAUAAACAGCUGAGAGCUAAGUUUUAUAUUAGUCUUUCCCACACAAAGAGGGAAAACAGAAACUUUAAACUAAAUGUUCUGUUCUGGUCCUGAAUCAUGGGGCAGGACAGUAGUUACUACAAUGUGUUCUCUGCUCAUUCAGUCCCUCUGAUGCAAAUCAGGAAUUAAGCACCUGCUUUCUUGGGGUGCAGGUGGGGAAUUGCCACUUAGCCCAGCUUAUUUUCACACGUGUUGAAAAUCGUGGUAUAGAAGUAUAAAAACAACUAAGUCCCACGACACUUUAAAGCAGCCUUCCCCAAUCUGGUGCCCUGAAGGUGUUUGGAACUACAACUCCCAUCAACCUUCACCCAGCAUAGCCAGGUUAGCUUGGACUGAUAGAAGACACACACCAAACAUGUGGAAAGCGCCCAGUUGGAGGAGACUGGGAUUUAGGGGCUGUCCUUGAUAUCACACUGAGCCUUGGAAGCCUCUCAUAAAGCAAUGGGAACUUCUUGUUUUUUAAUUAUUUCCCAGGUGGUAGAAGUUUCAGAACUACUUAACUUCAAAGCAAGUGCAUGUUGCUGCAGUCUUUGUGACCAAAUAUGAAAGCAGAUUGGGUAGACAUUUCCUUUUCUAGUGCCAUUUCCUUUUCUAUCAUCUGGAAGAUGGCCUUGACCAUAACCUAACAAUAAGAGGGUCAGGAAGCUAUCUAUAAUUACUGCAGUAAGGAUUUACUAAUUGUUCUACUGCUGCCUAGCUAAACUGCUUACCUUCAAAGGUGCUUUACUACUGUAUCUUAAGAUUAUAGGGGCAAGACAAUACUUGUGCAAAUAAAUAAGAUGCUUUAAAUAUUUUAAUGUAAAAAUUAGGUUAAAAUCUUGUCUACUGAAAAUAGCCAAUCUGUACACAAAACAUACUCUUCUCCGAAGUAAUACGCCUGUGAUAAUGUGAGGUUGUAAUGACAUUCUUUAAGGAU